AACGCGAAGAACCUUACCAGGGCUUGACAUGCCGCGAACUUGAAAGAGAGGGGUGCCCGGGAACGCGGACACAGGUGGUGCAUGGCUGGAGCGUGCCGUGAGGUGUUGGGUUAAGGCAACGAGCGCAACCCGUGUUUAGUUGCCACUAUGAGUUUGGAACCCUGAACAGACCGCCGGUGUUAAGCCGGAGGAAGGAGAGGAUGAGGCCAAGAAUGCCCCUUAUGCCCUGGGCGACACACGUGCUACAAUGGGCGGGACAAAGGGGCGAGCGAGGGUGAGCUAACCAAAAACCCGCAGUGGAUUGCAGGCUGCAACGCCUGCAUGAAGCAGGAAGCUAGUAAGCCGGAGCCAUACGGCGGUGAACGUCCGGGUUGUACACACCG
rnacentral:rRNA from 1 species